UACGGAGGGUGCAAACGUUGCUCGGAAUCAUUGGGCGUAAAGCGCACGUAGGCGGCCUGAUAAGUCGGGUGUGAAAGCCCUGGGCUCAACCCAGGAAGUGCACUCGAAACUGUCAGGCUUGAAUAUGGAAGAGGGUCGCGGAAUUCCCGGUGUAGAGGUGAAAUUCGUAGAUAUCGGGAGGAACAUCAGUGGCGAAGGCGGCCAUCUGGGACAACACUGACGCUGAAGCACGAAAGCGUGGGGAGCAAACAGG
rnacentral:rRNA from 1 species